CCUACGGGAGGCAGCAGUGGGGAAUAUUGGACAAUGGGGGGAACCCUGAUCCAGCGACGCCGCGUGAGUGAAGAAGUAUUUCGGUAUGUAAAGCUCUAUCAGCAGGGAAGAAAGACAUGACGGUACCUGACUACGAAGCCCCGGCUAACUACGUGCCAGCAGCCGCGGUAAUACGUAGGGGGCAAGCGUUAUCCGGAUUUACUGGGUGUAAAGGGAGCGUAGACGGCGAUGCAAGUCUGAAGUGAAAGGCGGGGGCCCAACCCCUGGACUGCUUUGGAAACUGUAUGGCUGGAGUGCAGGAGAGGUAAGUGGAAUUCCUAGUGUAGCGGUGAAAUGCGUAGAUAUUAGGAGGAACACCAGUGGCGAAGGCGGCUUACUGGACUGUAACUGACGUUGAGGCUCGAAAGCGUGGGGAGCAAACAGGAUUAGAUACCCGUGUAGUC
rnacentral:rRNA from 1 species